rnacentral:rRNA from 1 species
UUAAGCGACUAAGCGUACACGGUGGAUGCCCUGGCAGUCAGAGGCGAUGAAGGACGUGCUAAUCUGCGAUAAGCGUCGGUAAGGUGAUAUGAACCGUUAUAACCGGCGAUUUCCGAAUGGGGAAACCCAGUGUGUUUCGACACACUAUCAUUAACUGAAUUCAUAGGUUAAUGAGGCGAACCGGGGGAACUGAAACAUCUAAGUACCCCGAGGAAAAGAAAUCAACCGAGAUUCCCCCAGUAGCGGCGAGCGAACGGGGAGCAGCCCAGAGCCUGAAUCAGUGUGUGUGUUAGUGGAAGCGUCUGGAAAGGCGCGCGAUACAGGGUGACAGCCCCGUACACAAAAAUGCACAUGCUGUGAGCUCGAUGAGUAGGGCGGGACACGUGGUAUCCUGUCUGAAUAUGGGGGGACCAUCCUCCAAGGCUAAAUACUCCUGACUGACCGAUAGUGAACCAGUACCGUGAGGGAAAGGCGAAAAGAACCCCGGCGAGGGGAGUGAAAAAGAACCUGAAACCGUGUACGUACAAGCAGUGGGAGCACGCUUAGGCGUGUGACUGCGUACCUUUUGUAUAAUGGGUCAGCGACUUAUAUUCUGUAGCAAGGUUAACCGAAUAGGGGAGCCGAAGGGAAACCGAGUCUUAACUGGGCGUUAAGUUGCAGGGUAUAGACCCGAAACCCGGUGAUCUAGCCAUGGGCAGGUUGAAGGUUGGGUAACACUAACUGGAGGACCGAACCGACUAAUGUUGAAAAAUUAGCGGAUGACUUGUGGCUGGGGGUGAAAGGCCAAUCAAACCGGGAGAUAGCUGGUUCUCCCCGAAAGCUAUUUAGGUAGCGCCUCGUGAAUUCAUCUCCGGGGGUAGAGCACUGUUUCGGCAAGGGGGUCAUCCCGACUUACCAACCCGAUGCAAACUGCGAAUACCGGAGAAUGUUAUCACGGGAGACACACGGCGGGUGCUAACGUCCGUCGUGAAGAGGGAAACAACCCAGACCGCCAGCUAAGGUCCCAAAGUCAUGGUUAAGUGGGAAACGAUGUGGGAAGGCCCAGACAGCCAGGAUGUUGGCUUAGAAGCAGCCAUCAUUUAAAGAAAGCGUAAUAGCUCACUGGUCGAGUCGGCCUGCGCGGAAGAUGUAACGGGGCUAAACCAUGCACCGAAGCUGCGGCAGCGACGCUGAUGCGUUGUUGGGUAGGGGAGCGUUCUGUAAGCCUGCGAAGGUGUGCUGUGAGGCAUGCUGGAGGUAUCAGAAGUGCGAAUGCUGACAUAAGUAACGAUAAAGCGGGUGAAAAGCCCGCUCGCCGGAAGACCAAGGGUUCCUGUCCAACGUUAAUCGGGGCAGGGUGAGUCGACCCCUAAGGCGAGGCCGAAAGGCGUAGUCGAUGGGAAACAGGUUAAUAUUCCUGUACUUGGUGUUACUGCGAAGGGGGACGGAGAAGGCUAUGUUGGCCGGGCGACGGUUGUCCCGGUUUAAGCGUGUAGGCUGGUUUUCCAGGCAAAUCCGGAAAAUCAAGGCUGAGGCGUGAUGACGAGGCACUACGGUGCUGAAGCAACAAAUGCCCUGCUUCCAGGAAAAGCCUCUAAGCAUCAGGUAACAUCAAAUCGUACCCCAAACCGACACAGGUGGUCAGGUAGAGAAUACCAAGGCGCUUGAGAGAACUCGGGUGAAGGAACUAGGCAAAAUGGUGCCGUAACUUCGGGAGAAGGCACGCUGAUAUGUAGGUGAAGUCCCUUGCGGAUGGAGCUGAAAUCAGUCGAAGAUACCAGCUGGCUGCAACUGUUUAUUAAAAACACAGCACUGUGCAAACACGAAAGUGGACGUAUACGGUGUGACGCCUGCCCGGUGCCGGAAGGUUAAUUGAUGGGGUCAGCGCAAGCGAAGCUCUUGAUCGAAGCCCCGGUAAACGGCGGCCGUAACUAUAACGGUCCUAAGGUAGCGAAAUUCCUUGUCGGGUAAGUUCCGACCUGCACGAAUGGCGUAAUGAUGGCCAGGCUGUCUCCACCCGAGACUCAGUGAAAUUGAACUCGCUGUGAAGAUGCAGUGUACCCGCGGCAAGACGGAAAGACCCCGUGAACCUUUACUAUAGCUUGACACUGAACAUUGAGCCUUGAUGUGUAGGAUAGGUGGGAGGCUUUGAAGUGUGGACGCCAGUCUGCAUGGAGCCGACCUUGAAAUACCACCCUUUAAUGUUUGAUGUUCUAACGUGGACCCGUGAUCCGGGUUGCGGACAGUGUCUGGUGGGUAGUUUGACUGGGGCGGUCUCCUCCUAAAGAGUAACGGAGGAGCACGAAGGUUGGCUAAUCCUGGUCGGACAUCAGGAGGUUAGUGCAAUGGCAUAAGCCAGCUUGACUGCGAGCGUGACGGCGCGAGCAGGUGCGAAAGCAGGUCAUAGUGAUCCGGUGGUUCUGAAUGGAAGGGCCAUCGCUCAACGGAUAAAAGGUACUCCGGGGAUAACAGGCUGAUACCGCCCAAGAGUUCAUAUCGACGGCGGUGUUUGGCACCUCGAUGUCGGCUCAUCACAUCCUGGGGCUGAAGUAGGUCCCAAGGGUAUGGCUGUUCGCCAUUUAAAGUGGUACGCGAGCUGGGUUUAGAACGUCGUGAGACAGUUCGGUCCCUAUCUGCCGUGGGCGCUGGAGAACUGAGGGGGGCUGCUCCUAGUACGAGAGGACCGGAGUGGACGCAUCACUGGUGUUCGGGUUGUCAUGCCAAUGGCACUGCCCGGUAGCUAAAUGCGGAAGAGAUAAGUGCUGAAAGCAUCUAAGCACGAAACUUGCCCCGAGAUGAGUUCUCCCUGACCCUUUAAGGGUCCUGAAGGAACGUUGAAGACGACGACGUUGAUAGGCCGGGUGUGUAAGCGCAGCGAUGCGUUGAGCUAACCGGUACUAAUGAACCGUGAGGCUUAACCUU